UACGUAGGGUGCGAGCGUUGUCCGGAAUUAUUGGGCGUAAAGGGCUCGUAGGCGGUCUGUUGCGUCGGGGGUGAAAACUCAGGGCUUAACCCUGAGCCUGCUUCUGAUACGGGCAGACUAGAGGUAUGCAGGGGAGAACGGAAUUCCUGGUGUAGCGGUGAAAUGCGCAGAUAUCAGGAGGAACACCGGUGGCGAAGGCGGUUCUCUGGGCAGUACCUGACGCUGAGGAGCGAAAGCGUGGGGAGCAAACAGG
rnacentral:rRNA from 1 species